CAACUUUAAAAAAUCAAAAAAAUAUGUUAUGUUUAAUGAAUACAAAAACCAAUAAGAAUAAAUUUGAUUUUAUGACAAAUAUUGACUUAAUAGUGCCACGUUUUAAUGAAUUUUAAUAGAUUAAAAAUUUUGUAAGUAAUUUAUUUACAUUUAAAUGAAAAAAAUUUGCUUUGUGUCUAUUAAAAUUAGAAAUAGAAAAAUAAGGACCACUCUAAUACUCUUGUUAUUAAAUACCCUCUCUAUUUAGGCGUACUAGUAUAAAUUAUUUUGUAUAUUUUAGAAAAAAAUACUGAAUGCUUGACAUAAAAUCAUUAGGAAAAAAUAGUUCCAGGCAGAAUUGCAUAACAGGACAUUUGGUAAAGUAGAAGAUCUGGAAAAAUUCGACAAAUUUAUUGAAGAAAUCUUAAAUGAUUACACUCCUGAUCAAAUAAUGCCUGCAUUACAAUUACUAUUAAAUAAUUAAGUUGUAAUUUCUAUGUCCAAUCAUUUAUUGUAUUUAAUUAAUAUUUUUAUUGCUUUAAAGUAAUUUA